rnacentral:misc_RNA from 1 species
CCUAGAGUUGUAGGCUUUGCCUGCUAUCUCUUACCUAUGUCUUUUAAGUACCUUUGUUUCCUUAGCAGGUCUGCCUGCUAAUUAGACAAUUUAAACUAUUUGCAGUUGUAAUUAGCGUCUAAAAAACUUAAUAGUUA